GAAUGCUGACAUAAGUAACGAUAAAGCGGGUGAAAAGCCCGCUCGCCGGAAGACCAAGGGUUCCUGUCCAACGUUAAUCGGGGCAGGGUGAGUCGACCCCUAAGGCGAGGCCGAAAGGCGUAGUCGAUGGGAAACAGGUUAAUAUUCCUGUACUUGGUGUUACUGCGAAGGGGGGACGGAGAAGGCUAUGUUAGCCGGGCGACGGUUGUCCCGGUUUAAGCAUGUAGGCGGAGGUUCCAGGUAAAUCCGGUACCUUUUAACGCUGAGGUGUGAUGACGAGGCACUACGGUGCUGAAGUAACAAAUGCCCUGCUUCCAGGAAAAGCCUCUAAGCAUCAGGUAACAUUAAAUCGUACCCCAAACCGACACAGGUGGUCAGGUAGAG
rnacentral:rRNA from 1 species